UUCCGGUUGAUCCUGCCGGAGGCCAUUGCUAUUGGGAUUCGAUUUAGCCAUGCUAGUCGCACGAGUUCAGACUCGUGGCGAAUAGCUCAGUAACACGUGGCCAAACUACCCUUCGGAACACAAUACCCUCGGGAAACUGAGGCUAAUAGUGUAUACCGCAUCACACCUGGAAUGAGUGAUGCGCCAAACGCUCCGGCGCCGAAGGAUGUGGCUGCGGCCGAUUAGGUAGACGGUGGGGUAACGGCCCACCGUGCCAAUAAUCGGUACGGGUCAUGAGAGUGAGAACCCGGAGACGGAAUCUGAGACAAGAUUCCGGGCCCUACGGGGCGCAGCAGGCGCGAAACCUUUACACUGCACGACAGUGCGAUAAGGGAAUCCCAAGUGCGUAGGCAUAGAGCCUACGCUUUUGUCCACCGUAGGGAGGUGGACGAAUAAGGGCUGGGCAAGACCGGUGCCAGCCGCCGCGGUAAUACCGGCAGCCCGAGUGAUGGCCGAUCUUAUUGGGCCUAAAGCGUCCGUAGCUGGCCGCACAAGUCUAUCGGAAAAUCCACCCGCUCAACGGGUGGGCGUCCGGUAGAAACUGUGUGGCUUGGGACCGGAAGGCGCGACGGGUACGUCCGGGGUAGGAGUGAAAUCCUGUAAUCCUGGACGGACCGCCGAUGGCGAAAGCACGUCGCGAAGACGGAUCCGACAGUGAGGGACGAAAGCUAGGGUCUCGAACCGGAUUAGAUACCCGGGUAGUCCUAGCCGUAAACGAUGCCUGUUAGGUGUGACUCCCACUACGAGUGGGUGUUGUGCCGUAGGGAAGCCGCUAAACAGGCCGCCUGGGAAGUACGUCCGCAAGGAUGAAACUUAAAGGAAUUGGCGGGGGAGCACUACAACCGGAGGAGCCUGCGGUUUAAUUGGAUUCAACGCCGG
rnacentral:rRNA from 1 species